GGGGAUAUAGCUCAGCGGUAGAGCGCUCCCUUAGCAUGGGAAGAGAGCAGGGGUUCGAUUCCCCAUAUCUCCA
rnacentral:tRNA from 1 species